rnacentral:rRNA from 1 species
CACGUUGGGACCAAGCGUUGUCCGGAUUCAUUGGGCGUAAAGAGCUCGUAGGCGGCUCAGUAAGUCGGGUGUGAAACCUCCAGGCUCAACCUGGAGACGCCACCCGAUACUGCUGUGGCUAGAGUCCAGUAGGGGAGCGUGGAAUUCCUGGUGUAGCGGUGAAAUGCGCAGAUAUCAGGAGGAACACCAGCGGCGAAGGCGGCGCUCUGGGCUGGAACUGACGCUGAGGAGCGAAAGCAUGGGGAGCGAACAGG